rnacentral:rRNA from 1 species
GCCUAUGGCCAUGCCACCCUGAACAGUCUGAUCUCGGAAGCUAAGCAGCCUCAGACCUGGUUAGUACUUGAAUGGGAGACCACCUAGGAAAACUGGGUACUGUAGGCA